UGCUAUACAUGCAGUCGAGCGGACAGAUGGGAGCUUGCUCCCUGAUGUUAGCGGCGGACGGGUGAGUAACACGUGGGUAACCUGCCUGUAAGACUGGGAUAACUCCGGGAAACCGGGGCUAAUACCGGAUGGUUGUUUGAACCGCAUGGUUCAAACAUAAAAGGUGGCUUCGGCUACCACUUACAGAUGGACCCGCGGCGCAUUAGCUAGUUGGUGAGGUAACGGCUCACCAAGGCAACGAUGCGUAGCCGACCUGAGAGGGUGAUCGGCCACACUGGGACUGAGACACGGCCCAGACUCCUACGGGAGGCAGCAGUAGGGAAUCUUCCGCAAUGGACGAAAGUCUGACGGAGCAACGCCGCGUGAGUGAUGAAGGUUUUCGGAUCGUAAAGCUCUGUUGUUAGGGAAGAACAAGUACCGUUCGAAUAGGGCGGUACCUUGACGGUACCUAACCAGAAAGCCACGGCUAACUACGUGCCAGCAGCCGCGGUAAUACGUAGGUGGCARCGCUGUCGGAUUAUUGGGCGUAAGGGCUCGCAGGCGGUUUCUUAAGUCUGAUGUGAAAGCCCCCGGCUCAACCGGGGAGGGUCAUUGGAAACUGGGGAACUUGAGUGCAGAAGAGGAGAGUGGAAUUCCACGUGUAGCGGUGAAAUGCGUAGAGAUGUGGAGGAACACCAGUGGCGAAGGCGACUCUCUGGUCUGUAACUGACGCUGAGGAGCGAAAGCGUGGGGAGCGAACAGGAUUAGAUACCCUGGUAGUCCACGCCGUAAACGAUGAGUGCUAAGUGUUAGGGGGUUUCCGCCCCUUAGUGCUGCAGCUAACGCAUUAAGCACUCCGCCUGGGGAGUACGGUCGCAAGACUGAAACUCAAAGGAAUUGACGGGGGCCCGCACAAGCGGUGGAGCAUGUGGUUUAAUUCGAAGCAACGCGAAGAACCUUACCAGGUCUUGACAUCCUCUGACAAUCCUAGAGAUAGGACGUCCCCUUCGGGGGCAGAGUGACAGGUGGUGCAUGGUUGUCGUCAGCUCGUGUCGUGAGAUGUUGGGUUAAGUCCCGCAACGAGCGCAACCCUUGAUCUUAGUUGCCAGCAUUCAGUUGGGCACUCUAAGGUGACUGCCGGUGACAAACCGGAGGAAGGUGGGGAUGACGUCAAAUCAUCAUGCCCCUUAUGACCUGGGCUACACACGUGCUACAAUGGACAGAACAAAGGGCAGCGAAACCGCGAGGUUAAGCCAAUCCCACAAAUCUGUUCUCAGUUCGGAUCGCAGUCUGCAACUCGACUGCGUGAAGCUGGAAUCGCUAGUAAUCGCGGAUCAGCAUGCGC
rnacentral:rRNA from 2 species